rnacentral:lncRNA from 10 species
CUCGAUGAACACGAGCCGCGGAGCCCAGUCGCCGGUGCCAUUCUCCCCCGAGUUGAGGGUCGGUGAGGGCACCGGUGCGGCGGUGGCCGGCGGUCCUGGCUGGAAAUAGACACGCAGGAGGAAGCUGGUGCCUUCGGCGGCGCGCAGGGUGCCCCCCUCCAGGGACACGCGGCCUCCAGCAGUGUCCUCGGGCCGCAGGCCCAGCAGCCAGGCGGCGGCGGCCGGGGGCCGAGGAGACAGGGAAAAGAAGAGCAGGAGCACAGCGCCUCGGCUGCAGCAGUCCCGGAGCCUGACACCCACCGCUGCUGCCGCCGCCGCGGCCGCCGCCAUCCUGCACCCAGCGCAGCUGCACGUGAUACUGCAGGAAGCCGAGCGAGAGCUGGAGGGAG